GUAUGGCAAGACCCUCAGCAGCAUGAUCACGGAUGACACCAGUGGUGACUACAAGAACGCCCUCCUGAACCUGGUGGGCAGUGACCCAUGAAGUCACUGAAGAAUGAGAGCCAAGACCAAGAAGCAGGGGUCUCCAGGCCCUGCCCCCAUGACCUUGGCCAUGGGUGGGGGUUGGGGGGCCCUCAGCCAGCUUCCAGUCUUUAUCUCCUAGUGCUUUCUGGCCAACAUUUCCGACCCAGAGGAUGACACCAGCCCCAGCUCCUCCUUCCAUCUUCUCUCCCAGAUCAUCUCUAGGUCAUGCACAAAGACUUUAGCAAAGCUCUUGCUGGACAAAUAUGUCAGCCUACAGGGGCUCAUGGGUCAUUUCUUCCUCCUAGACAGAGCCUGCCUGAGCUUGACUGGUCACAGAAUUACCUGGGCAUAGGUUAUGCAGAUACCUUGGCCCAGUCCCAUCUACAGAAUCAAGGGUCCCCCAGGAGGACUAGGGAACAUAGAUCUCUAACAAGUGUCUCAGUCAUUUGCUUCCUUAUCACCCACCAGCCAGAGGGCCCUAAGAGCCCUUUUGUAGUAGAGCACAGGCCCCUGAAUUGCUGAGAAAGGGAUGCAUAUCCAUGUCAAUUGGGAUGCCACCAGUCUCCUUGAAAAAGUCAGACUCUGACAUCCUCACACUAUCCUGAUGACAGAGUAAUUGGACUACAGAGCAAUGUCCUGACCCAAGGGCUCUAUGUCCUAGAAGCUCAGGCUUCCUGGUUGUUCAGCAGUUCUGCUCUGUCCUCUGUGACACAGCAUGCAGCACAGGGGAUGACAACCCUGAGCAUGACUCAUCCCGACCCAAGGCCACCAAGCCUGGAGACCUGCAGAGGCCUCAUUUUCAUCUUCCUAGAUAUUUUCUGGGCUUUCAGAAUAAUAAACAUCUGCAUAUUCAGAAA